rnacentral:sRNA from 1 species
UUUUCUGGGAUCAGAGAGAUAACCCACAUCUGCAGAUCUAAUCAAUCCUGAAUUUGAUCUGCAAUAAAAUAAUCCCAUUUUGGUUGUUCCGUGGAGA